rnacentral:rRNA from 1 species
GACGAACGCUGGCGGCGUGCUUAACACAUGCAAGUCGAACGGAAAGGCCCUGCUUUUGUGGGGUGCUCGAGUGGCGAACGGGUGAGUAACACGUGAGUAACCUGCCCUUGACUUUGGGAUAACUUCAGGAAACUGGGGCUAAUACCGGAUAGGAGCUCCUGCUGCAUGGUGGGGGUUGGAAAGUUUCGGCGGUUGGGGAUGGACUCGCGGCUUAUCAGCUUGUUGGUGGGGUAGUGGCUUACCAAGGCUUUGACGGGUAGCCGGCCUGAGAGGGUGACCGGCCACAUUGGGACUGAGAUACGGACCAGACGCGUACGGGAGGCAGCAGUGGGGAAUAUUGCACAAUGGGCGGAAGCCUGAGGCAGCAACGCCGCGUGCGGGAUGACGGCCUUCGGGUUGUAAACCGCUUUCGCCUGUGACGAAGCGUGAGUGACGGUAAUGGGUAAAGAAGCACCGGCUAACUACGUG